rnacentral:lncRNA from 1 species
AUCCCUUUUUUAACAUCCCAUUUAUUACAUGAGAAAAAUAUUUCUCAUGAAAUCACUCCAUGCACAAUUUAAGCCAUGCCUCACGCCUUUAGUGGAUAAGGGAUGAGUUGGUGUCCAUUUGAAUUCAAAAUUUGAUUUGAAUUCAAAUGUGUAAUUACUCAUCUUUAUCCUUUCUUUUGGAUAAGACGUUUGACGUUGUUAUAAAAGGAGGAGAAGAGUGGGGCGUG